UCUGGUUUUAGGUGGAAGUCCUUGA
rnacentral:misc_RNA from 1 species